rnacentral:lncRNA from 1 species
CCUUAUGUUGUAGAACUAGUGGUUCUUGUCGAACCUCAGGUAAAGUUGUUUCUCCAAGUGCCGAAAUUUGAGGGUGGUGUAGUUUAGAUUGUGGUAUCCUAGAUACUCCAUCAUUAUGAAGCCUUGCCACCACUCCUUCAAUCUCUACAGUUCUUUGUGAUAACGUAGCGAGGGCAUUCAUAAUAGCAUCUAACUUAGACUCCAAACUUUCUGUCAUACUAAUGUCUUG